rnacentral:rRNA from 1 species
UGACUGCGUACCUUUUGUAUAAUGGGUCAGCGACUUAUAUUCUGUAGCAAGGUUAACCGUAUAGGGGAGCCGUAGGGAAACCGAGUCUUAACCGGGCGUUAAGUUGCAGGGUAUAGACCCGAAACCCGGUGAUCUAGCCAUGGGCAGGUUGAAGGUUGGGUAACACUAACUGGAGGACCGAACCGACUAAUGUUGAAAAAUUAGCGGAUGACCUGUGGCUGGGGGUGAAAGGCCAAUCAAACCGGGAGAUAGCUGGUUCUCCCCGAAAGCUAUUUAGGUAGCGCCUCGUGAAUUCAUCUCCGGGGGUAGAGCACUGUUUCGGCUAGGGGGCCAUCCCGGCUUACCAACCCGAUGCAAACUGCGAAUACCGGAGAAUGUUAUCACGGGAGACACACGGCGGGUGCUAACGUCCGUCGUGAAGAGGGAAACAACCCAGACCGCCAGCUAAGGUCCCAAAGUCAUGGUUAAGUGGGAAACGAUGUGGGAAGGCCCAGACAGCCAGGAUGUUGGCUUAGAAGCAGCCAUCAUUUAAAGAAAGCGUAAUAGCUCACUGGUCGAGUCGGCCUGCGCGGAAGAUGUAACGGGGCUAAACCAUGCACCGAAGCUGCGGCAGCGAACGUAUCACUUAAAGCGAUUCAGCGGGUUACGAUUGACGGAGCGAAGCGACGUCAAAGCGUAUACAAAGUCGAGUCGGUUUAAGGAUACGUUCGUUGGGUAGGGGAGCGUUCUGUAAGCCUGUGAAGGUGUGUCGUGAGGCAUGCUGGAGGUAUCAGAAGUGCGAAUGCUGACAUAAGUAACGAUAAAGCGGGUGAAAAGCCCGCUCGCCGGAAGACCAAGGGUUCCUGUCCAACGUUAAUCGGGGCAGGGUGAGUCGACCCCUAAGGCGAGGCCGAAAGGCGUAGUCGAUGGGAAACGGGUUAAUAUUCCCGUACUUGGUGUUACUGCGAAGGGGGGACGGAGAAGGCUAUGUUGGCCGGGCGACGGUUGUCCCGGUUUAAGCGUGUAGGUGUGUGUUCCAGGUAAAUCCGGUUCACUUUAACACUGAGGCGUGACGACGAGGCACUACGGUGCUGAAGCAACAAAUGCCCUGCUUCCAGGAAAAGCCUCUAAGCAUCAGGUAACAUCAAAUCGUACCCCAAACCGACACAGGUGGUCAGGUAGAGAAUACCAAGGCGCUUGAGAGAACUCGGGUGAAGGAACUAGGCAAAAUGGUGCCGUAACUUCGGGAGAAGGCACGCUGACACGUAGGUGAAGUGAUUUACUCAUGGAGCUGAAGUCAGUCGAAGAUACCAGCUGGCUGCAACUGUUUAUUAAAAACACAGCACUGUGCAAACACGAAAGUGGACGUAUACGGUGUGACGCCUGCCCGGUGCCGGAAGGUUAAUUGAUGGGGUCAGCGCAAGCGAAGCUCCUGAUCGAAGCCCCGGUAAACGGCGGCCGUAACUAUAACGGUCCUAAGGUAGCGAAAUUCCUUGUCGGGUAAGUUCCGACCUGCACGAAUGGCGUAAUGAUGGCCAGGCUGUCUCCACCCGAGACUCAGUGAAAUUGAACUCGCUGUGAAGAUGCAGUGUACCCGCGGCAAGACGGAAAGACCCCGUGAACCUUUACUAUAGCUUGACACUGAACAUUGAGCCUUGAUGUGUAGGAUAGGUGGGAGGCUUUGAAGUGUGGACGCCAGUCUGCAUGGAGCCGACCUUGAAAUACCACCCUUUAAUGUUUGAUGUUCUAACGUGGACCCGUGAUCCGGGUUGCGGACAGUGUCUGGUGGGUAGUUUGACUGGGGCGGUCUCCUCCUAAAGAGUAACGGAGGAGCACGAAGGUUGGCUAAUCCUGGUCGGACAUCAGGAGGUUAGUGCAAUGGCAUAAGCCAGCUUGACUGCGAGCGUGACGGCGCGAGCAGGUGCGAAAGCAGGUCAUAGUGAUCCGGUGGUUCUGAAUGGAAGGGCCAUCGCUCAACGGAUAAAAGGUACUCCGGGGAUAACAGGCUGAUACCGCCCAAGAGUUCAUAUCGACGGCGGUGUUUGGCACCUCGAUGUCGGCUCAUCACAUCCUGGGGCUGAAGUAGGUCCCAAGGGUAUGGCUGUUCGCCAUUUAAAGUGGUACGCGAGCUGGGUUUAGAACGUCGUGAGACAGUUCGGUCCCUAUCUGCCGUGGGCGCUGGAGAACUGAGGGGGGCUGCUCCUAGUACGAGAGGACCGGAGUGGACGCAUCACUGGUGUUCGGGUUGUCAUGCCAAUGGCACUGCCCGGUAGCUAAAUGCGGAAGAGAUAAGUGCUGAAAGCAUCUAAGCACGAAACUUGCCCCGAG